GACGAACCUUGCAAACGUUAUUCGGAAUCACUGGGCUUAAAGGGUGCGUAGGCUGUGCAGAAAGUUGGGUGUGAAAUACCUCGCUUAACCGAGGAAUUGCGCCCAAAACUACUGUGCUCGAGGAAGAUAGAGGUGAGCGGAACUUAGGGUGGAGCGGUGAAAUGCGUUGAUAUCCUAAGGAACACCGGUGGCGAAAGCGGCUACACUGGAUCUUAGUCUGACGCUGAGGCACGAAAGCCAGGGGAGACAAACGGGGGAUUAGA
rnacentral:rRNA from 1 species